rnacentral:tRNA from 1 species
ACCUGAGUGGCUCAGUCAGUUAAGCAUCUGACUUCGGCUCAGGUCAUGAUCUCACGGUUCGUGGGUUCAAGCCCCGCAUCGGGCU